rnacentral:lncRNA from 10 species
UUCAGCCAAAACAUCAUGAUAUAACAAAAGCCUAAAAUGCCCCUUGCCCUUCAUCUUGUCUUCUCUUUGUCCCCCACCUUCCCAUGUACUCCCAUGAGGUAAAAUAUACUGUCAUUUUGAUGUAUAAGAUUCCAGGCUUUUCUGCACAUUUACAUGAAUAAAUGAAUGUAUUUUUUAUUGUAAAUAAUAUAUAUGAUUCUGCAGACUGCUCUUUUUAUGGAACAGUAUGCCUUGGGGAUUUUUUUUCAUGUCAGUAUAUACAGACUCACCUUGUUGAGUUUAGCUGCCAUACUGUAUCUACAGUAUGGAUAGGACACAGUUUAUUCAUUUUCCUAUUGAUGAACAUUUAGGUAGUUUCUACUGUUCCACUCUUACAAAACAAUGCUGCUAUGAAUAUCUUUGUACAAACUUCCUUGGGUCCAUGUAUCCACUUUAGAAGUGAGAUUACUGGGUUAUAGGAUGUAUACCUUUCAAAUCUUAAUAAAUAGUGUUUCUUCUGUAAUUUAAAAAUAAUACUUUGUUUUAAGAAGCGAGAAAACAAUAUUCUUAAAAAUAGCAAGUGGCUCUCUCAUGUACAGAUAUACAAUGUAUACAUAUAUAGCUAAAGAGAUCCUGUGCCAGCCCUUAAAAUUAUCAUUCUAAAAUGGAAUUCAUUGUGAAUCACAGCUUACCCCCCAAAAAAGCACAACAGUCAUACACACUGGGCCUACUGUUUUUGGCAUGCUUGGGAUAUAAUACCCGCCGUUCUCUUUACAUAUACUUAUGGGUAGUGUGUGUGUGUGUGUGUGUGUGUGUUUGUGUACAUGCAAGCAUGUGUGUGUGUGUGUCUCUGUGUGUGUGUGUUGGCACAUGUGUGCUGUAUAGAACUUGCAACAGGGUUUCUUCUAGAUGACUCGUCUGAACCACAGCAAUUUCUGUGGAAGUUGGAAGAAAAUUGAUGAAUGUAAGAGAUAUCAUGGAGUUGGAAUCCCCUGGAAAUCAUGAUUGGUAGGUCUAGGCAGCCAGGCACAGAGCAAAACUAAGGAUGUCAUGAAGUUUAGUUUCUUGUUUGCUGAGCUGAACGAGGUUUGUUGAACUAUCUAAAACCACAGGGAGCACUGUUCACUGGGGUCAGCUUCGUCGAUGCUGAUAGCUUUGUCUCUUUGCUGCCAACAGCAGCAUUUGGUAAGGUGUAAGAAGGCCUGCAUUCUAGUCCUGGCUCUACCUCCAAUUGGCUAUGUGAUCUUGAAGUAAGCAUUUCACUGCACUUAAUUCAUCUAUAAAAUGAACAGGACCUUUUUCACCUUUAAUAUCAUGGACUAGCAACUCCAAACCAAGAAUUGAACAGACAUUUAGAUAUCUGUUACACAUACCUAAAUCUAUACAAGCUUGCAUGUAACAGAUAUACAAUGCUAAAUUAAUUCUUUUCAUCUGUGCAGGAUCUAUUCUGGUAUUUUUUCUUCAAGAAUACUUGUUGUAAGGUUUUGCAGAACUAAAAUGGGACAAAUAGAAGUGAAUCCAAAGAUGAUGUAGAUGCUUCCAACAAGUGAAAGCCUGAAGUGGGAAAAUUUGGGAUGCCCAGACUCAUAGACUGGAAGGGGAUAGAAUGAGAAAGAAUCAUCAUAAAGUUGUAGAAUCCCAGACUUUAAGGUUGCCUAUACAAACCUCCAAGCUUCAACAGAUAUCAGUUCUACAAACACACCUGGCAGAUGGCUAUGAAAGGAGCUUGUUUGUGGUCUGGACUGGGGGGUGUGUUUUACAGCAAAAGGUAGCUGUCAGGGUAAUGUCUUCCAUUCAACUGGUCCCCUUUAAUGCUGAACUCAGAGUAAGGCAGCACGGACAUGUUUCAUGAAAAAGAAACCUUGGGAGAUCUUUAUGCUAAAACACACACACACACACAUGCACUGCACACACAUGUAUGGUUGGUACAGGCUUUGAAAGAUAUUACCUUGAAAUUAUUGUUUUGUUUUAUCUUCAAAGACUUUAUCUCUUCAUGCAGUUUAGCUGUGUGGCCACCAGGGGACAGAAGGAUGCCAUUGAUUGUAUUGUGAAUGUAAGCCUCGAAGUUUGUGCUCUCCCUAAGAUUCAAAAUGAUGGCUCUCUGCUCAUUUUGACCCCCUACCCAAGAUAUAUAGUCACAUAUAUCCAGCUUUUUCUAUAAAACGAAUGCCUUUGCUAAGCUGAUUAAAAUAUGUCAAACUUUAAACUCAUCAUGCUGGAACCACAUUUCCUAGGCCCCUGAAAAACAGCAGCAGUCUCUGGUUUGUAGCAACUCUUUUUCAGAGAAAUCACUGGAAUUCCAAUUCCUUCUGUUUUUUUAAGGUCUCUCAGCUGUGUCUCAUUUGGAUUCCUCAGUGGCCUUUCCAAGGCCUCUUUUAGCCUAACUUCCCAAGACUCAUUCUCCUUUGCUGGUCUCUUUCUACAAACGCAACAUGGGGUUAGGUCAGUAAUUCAUGCAGUAAAUAUUUACUUUGUAUUCACUGUGUGCCAAAACAAGCCCAGGCUCUCAGGAAACAAAUAAAACUUUUCUGUCCUACAGCUUACAUUCUAGUGAAAAGGCAGACAAUAAACAAAUAUGUUCAGAUGGCAAUAAGUGCUAUAGAGAGGUAAUAAUAAGAAAUAGGAGAGGGAGAUUGGGAGUUAUUCAAGGAGGGGAUGGUGGCAGGGCUGCUAUUUUAGAUGGUACUGUCAGAGCAUAUUUCUCUAAUAAAGAUGGCAUUUCAGCUGUGACCUGAAGGAGGUGAGAGAGCAAGCCACAUAUUCCAGGAAGUUGGGGAGGGGCACAAAUGUAAAGAUCUUAAGGUGGCACUAGUUUCAGUAUGUGUGAGGGGCAGCAAGGUGGCCAGUGUAGCUGGAGCUCAGUGAGAAAUGGAGAGAAUGAUGGGAAAUAAGAUCAAAUAGGUGACAAGAAAUCUGAUCUUGUAGGACCAUAUCUGUGAGAUGAUGCAGCUCUGACAGUUUUGAGCAGAGGAUUGACAUGGUCACUGUGGCUAUAGUAAGAAGUGUGGGAGAAGGGAUCAUAUUCUGGAAAUGGCUUGAAGGGAAAGUUGACAGGAUUUAAUAAUGAAUUGUAUGUGGUAAGUAUGAGAAAGAAGAGUCAGGGGUAGGCUAAAUAUUUGGCCUAAGCAAAUGGAGUUUCUAUUUACCGGGACAAGAAAGACUUGGGGACAGGCAGUGAGGUAAAAAAGAAAACUAGAAUAGUGUGUGUGUGGUCCUGAAAGCCAGGUGAAGAAAGUUUUGCAAGGAGGAGAGAGUGAUCAUCUGUGUCCUACACUAAUGAGGUGGAUGGCAUCCCUUCUGGCUGUAGCUGUCGCUACAGGUGUUACUUGCCUCACAGACUCACUGACAUUGCUGUGCUUUUCUGCCAUGUCAGAUACUUGCUGGAUUGGGAAAUGGUCCUCAAGUGUUAGAGACAAUUCCACAUGACCUCAAAACAUGAUGGUCCUCUAUAGUCUGUUCUCAGUUCCCAGUUUCCUGGAGCUCAACUAGUUAACAGACACCUGAACUCUCAUCCUGCAUCAGGGGACAAAGGGACACACUACUCAGUGCUGCAUUCAAAAAGCUCCUCUCCACCACACUCUGUUCAGCUUCCGGAGCAAAGUCUGUGAGAGGACCCCAGCUUUUUCCUUUUAUAGUGGUUCUUUUCCACCUAGAAUGCUGCCGGGGGUUGAGCGUCUACCUCAG